GCGAACGGGGAGGAGCCCAGAGCCUGAAUCAGCAUGUGUGUUAGUGGAAGCGUCUGGAAAGGCGCGCGAUACAGGGUGACAGCCCCGUACACAAAAGCGCAUGUGCUGUGAGCUCGAUGAGUAGGGCGGGACACGUGGUAUCCUGUCUGAAUAUGGGGGGACCAUCCUCCAAGGCUAAAUACUCCUGACUGACCGAUAGUGAACCAGUACCGUGAGGGAAAGGCGAAAAGAACCCCGGCGAGGGGAGUGAAAAAGAACCUGAAACCGUGUACGUACAAGCAGUGGGAGCACAGGUUUACCUGUGUGACUGCGUACCUUUUGUAUAAUGGGUCAGCGACUUAUAUUCUGUAGCAAGGUUAACCGUAUAGGGGAGCCGUAGGGAAACCGAGUCUUAAUUGGGCGUUAAGUUGCAGGGUAUAGACCCGAAACCCGGUGAUCUAGCCAUGGGCAGGUUGAAGGUUGGGUAACACUAACUGGAGGACCGAACCGACUAAUGUUGAAAAAUUAGCGGAUGACCUGUGGCUGGGGGUGAAAGGCCAAUCAAACCGGGAGAUAGCUGGUUCUCCCCGAAAGCUAUUUAGGUAGCGCCUCGUGAAUUCAUCUCCGGGGGUAGAGCACUGUUUCGGCUAGGGGGCCAUCCCGGCUUACCAACCCGAUGCAAACUGCGAAUACCGGAGAAUGUUAUCACGGGAGACACACGGCGGGUGCUAACGUCCGUCGUGAAGAGGGAAACAACCCAGACCGCCAGCUAAGGUCCCAAAGUCAUGGUUAAGUGGGAAACGAUGUGGGAAGGCCCAGACAGCCAGGAUGUUGGCUUAGAAGCAGCCAUCAUUUAAAGAAAGCGUAAUAGCUCACUGGUCGAGUCGGCCUGCGCGGAAGAUGUAACGGGGCUAAACCAUGCACCGAAGCUGCGGCAGCGACGCUUAUGCGUUGUUGGGUAGGGGAGCGUUCUGUAAGCCUGUGAAGGUGGCCUGUGAGGGUUGCUGGAGGUAUCAGAAGUGCGAAUGCUGACAUAAG
rnacentral:rRNA from 1 species